rnacentral:rRNA from 1 species
AUUGAACGCUGGCGGCAUGCCUUACACAUGCAAGUCGAACGGCAGCACGGGAGCAAUCCUGGUGGCGAGUGGCGAACGGGUGAGUAAUAUAUCGGAACGUACCUUUCAGUGGGGGAUAACGUAGCGAAAGUUACGCUAAUACCGCAUAUUCUGUGAGCAGGAAAGCAGGGGAUCUUAGGACCUUGCGCUGAUUGAGCGGCCGAUAUCAGAUUAGCUAGUUGGUGAGGUAAAGGCUCACCAAGGCGACGAUCUGUAGCGGGUCUGAGAGGAUGAUCCGCCACACUGGAACUGAGACACGGUCCAGACUCCUACGGGAGGCAGCAGUGGGGAAUUUUGGACAAUGGGGGCAACCCUGAUCCAGCCAUGCCGCGUGAGUGAAGAAGGCCUCGGUUGUAAGACGUCUUUCUACGCCGGAAGGAAACGACAUGGUAGUACCUACGUGUGGUAGUGACGGU